UCCAUACCCUUCGGGGUGAGAGGCUCCCAGCCAGACUACUGGUUGAUAGCCGGAUGUGGAAGCGUAGUAAUACGUGAAGCUGACCGGUACUAAUAAGCCGAUGACUUGAUAAC
rnacentral:ncRNA from 1 species